UACGUAGGGUGCAAGCGUUGUCCGGAAUUAUUGGGCGUAAAGAGCUCGUAGGCGGUCUGUCGCGUCUGCUGUGAAAACCUAGGGCUUAACUCUGGGCGUGCAGUGGGUACGGGCAGGCUAGAGUGCGGUAGGGGAGACUGGAAUUCCUGGUGUAGCGGUGAAAUGCGCAGAUAUCAGGAGGAACACCGAUGGCGAAGGCAGGUCUCUGGGCCGAUACUGACGCUCAUGCACGAAAGCGUGGGGAGCAAACAGG
rnacentral:rRNA from 1 species